UAGGGAAUCUUCCGCAAUGGACGAAAGUCUGACGGAGCAACGCCGCGUGAGCGAAGAAGGUCUUCGGAUCGUAAAGCUCUGUUGUCAGGGAAGAACAAGUACCGUUCGAACAGGGCGGUACCUUGACGGUACCUGACGAGGAAGCCACGGCUAACUACGUGCCAGCAGCCGCGGUAAUACGUAGGUGGCAAGCGUUGUCCGGAAUUAUUGGGCGUAAAGCGCGCGCAGGCGGUUCCUUAAGUCUGAUGUGAAAUCUCGCGGCUCAACCGCGAGCGGCCAUUGGAAACUGGGGAACUUGAGUGCAGGAGAGGGGAGCGGAAUUCCACGUGUAGCGGUGAAAUGCGUAGAGAUGUGGAGGAACACCAGUGGCGAAGGCGGCUCUCUGGCCUGUAACUGACGCUGAGGCGCGAAAGCGUGGGGAGCGAACAGG
rnacentral:rRNA from 1 species